UGGCGAUGAUUACAUUUUAUCCGCGCUUCUGAGAGAGUGUGAGGAAUCAGUGAAGCAAAGGAUGUAAACAAAAUGGUUGAAUUUCUUGAUAUGAGCCA